rnacentral:sRNA from 1 species
CUUUCUCCUUCUUCGUCAUGGUUGGCAGGUACCCGAAGUACACAUAUGCCAAAUUGCUAGGUUAUUGAUUACUUAAUAAUCGUAUUCUUUGUUUUGUUUAUGUUUCUGCUAUCACACAAAGAAAAUCAGAGUUGAAGAUUGCAUUUGUGAAUGAAGUUUGACAGUUCGACGAAGUUUUCUGGCGAGAAGGUUUUUAAAAUUGAUGGUAAGUCCUUGUACCUUUCGAAGAUUUUAAAUUGUUUCCUUUCGUUACAGAAUUUUGGGCACUGAAAAAUUUGGUGAUCCUCACUUUCAGUGAUUCCACAAAGUGUGCAGAUGUCUGAGGCCUCGACUUUAAUGCGAUCUUUAUAUUACCAGGUGACAUCUUUGAGCCAGUGAACCAGUAAGAUUUUGGUGGUGUGUUGAAGAAUUGUGAAAAAUGAUCAUAAAU